UACGAAGGGGGGCUAGCGUUGCUCGGAAUCACUGGGCGUAAAGCGCACGUAGGCGGACUCUUAAGUCGGUGGUGAAAUCCUGGAGCUCAACUCCAGAACUGCCUUCGAUACUGGGAGUCUUCGAGUCCGGGAGAGGUGAGUGGAACUGCGAGUGUAGAGGUGAAAUUCGUAGAUAUUCGCAAGAACACCAGUGGCGAAGGCGGCUCACUGGCCCGGUACUGACGCUGAGGUGCGAAAGCGUGGGGAGCAAACAGG
rnacentral:rRNA from 1 species